UACGGAGGAUCCAAGCGUUAUCCGGAAUCAUUGGGUUUAAAGGGUCCGUAGGCGGUCUUAUAAGUCAGUGGUGAAAGCCCAUCGCUCAACGAUGGAACUGCCAUUGAUACUGUAGGACUUGAAUUUUUGUGAAGUAACUAGAAUAUGUAGUGUAGCGGUGAAAUGCUUAGAUAUUACAUGGAAUACCAAUUGCGAAGGCAGGUUACUAACAAACGAUUGACGCUGAUGGACGAAAGCGUGGGGAGCGAACAGGAUUAGAAACCCGAGUAGUCC
rnacentral:rRNA from 1 species